rnacentral:rRNA from 1 species
CCUACGGGUGGCAGCAGUGGGGAAUAUUGGACAAUGGGGGGAACCCUGAUCCAGCCAUGCCGCGUGUGUGAAGAAGGCCCUCGGGUUGUAAAGCACUUUCAGUGAGGAAGAACGCCUGGUGGUUAAUACCCAUCAGGAAAGACAUCACUCACAGAAGAAGCACCGGCUAACUCCGUGCCAGCAGCCGCGGUAAUACGGAGGGUGCGAGCGUUAAUCGGAAUUACUGGGCGUAAAGCGCGCGUAGGUGGCUUGAUAAGCCGGUUGUGAAAGCCCCGGGCUCAACCUAGGAACGGCAUCCGGAACUGUCAAGCUAGAGUGCAGGAGAGGAAGGUAGAAUUCCCGGUGUAGCGGUGAAAUGCGUAGAGAUCGGGAGGAAUACCAGUGGCGAAGGCGGCCUUCUGGACUGACACUGACACUGAGGUGCGAAAGCGUGGGUAGCAAACAGGAUUAGAUACCCUUGUAGUC